rnacentral:sRNA from 12 species
UAUGAGCCGAGGAGCCUUGCAGAAACUUCAAGUUGGCGCUAACUCGAAACAGUAGCAAGAGAGCUCGUAUUAUGUGAAAGGACUGGCUGAAGCAUAAUAAAAUACUGAGCCCACUUCGCAGGGGGCAG